UACGGAGGAUGCGAGCGUUAUCCGGAUUUAUUGGGUUUAAAGGGUGCGCAGGCGGAGGUGCAAGUCAGUGGUCAAAUUGCGGGGCUCAACCCCGUACUGCCGUUGAAACUGAUGAUCUUGAGUGGGCGAGAAGUAUGCGGAAUGCGUGGUGUAGCGGUGAAAUGCAUAGAUAUCACGCAGAACUCCGAUUGCGAAGGCAGCAUACCGGCGCGCAACUGACGCUCAUGCACGAGAGCAUGGGUAGCGAACAGG
rnacentral:rRNA from 1 species